CAGUCGCCACGGUAAUACGAAGGGUGCAAGCGUUAAUCGGAAUUACUGGGCGUAAAGCGUGCGUAGGCGGUGAGUUAAGUCUGCUGUGAAAUCCCCGGGCUCAACCUGGGAAUGGCAGUGGAUACUGGCUCGCUAGAGUGUGUCAGAGGAUGGUGGAAUUCCCGGUGUAGCGGUGAAAUGCGUAGAGAUCGGGAGGAACAUCAGUGGCGAAGGCGGCCAUCUGGGACAACACUGACGCUGAGGCACGAAAGCGUGGGGAGCAAACAGGAUAAGAGACCCGAGUAGUCCCUGUCUCUUAUAC
rnacentral:rRNA from 1 species